rnacentral:misc_RNA from 1 species
GAUGAAGAACGUAGUGAAAUGCGAUAAGUAAUGUGAAUUGCAGAAUUCAGUGAAUCAUCGAGUCUUUGAACGCACAUUGCGCCCCCUGGUAUUCCGGGGGACAUGCCUGUCCGAGCGUCAUUGCUGCCCUCAAGCACGGCUUGUGUGUUGGGCCCCGUCCUCCGAUCCCGGGGGACGGGCCCGAAAGGCAGCGGCGGCACCGCGUCCGGUCCUCGAGCGUAUGGGGCUUUGUCACCCGCUCUGUAGGCCCGGCCGGCGCUUGCCGAUCAACCCAAAUUUUUAUCCAGGUUGACCUCGGAUCAGGUAGGGAUACCCGCUGAACUUAAGCAUAUCAAUAAGCGGAGGA